UCUUCCGCAAUGGACGAAAGUCUGACGGAGCAACGCCGCGCGAGUGAUGAAGGUUUUCGGAUCGUAAAACUCUGUUGUUCUGGAAGAACCAGUACCGUUCGAAUAGGGCGGUUCCUUGACGGUACCUCACCAGAAAGCCACGGCUAACUACGUGCCAGCCGCCGCGGUAAUACGUAGGUGGCAAGCGUUGUCCGGAAUUAUUGGGCGUAAAGCGCGCGCAGGCGGUUUCUUAAGGCUGAUGUGAAAGCCCCCGGCUCAACCGGGGAGGGUCAUUGGAAACUGGGGAACUUGAGUGCAGAAGAGGAGAGUGGAAUUCCACGUGUAGCGGUGAAAUGCGUAGAGAUGUGGAGGAACACCAGUGGCGAAGGCGACUCUCUGGUCUGUAACUGACGCUGAGGCGCGAAAGCGUGGGGAGCGAACAG
rnacentral:rRNA from 1 species